GAUGAAGAACGUAGCGAAAUGCGAUACUUGGUGUGAAUUGCAGAAUCCCGUGAACCAUCGAGUCUUUGAACGCAAGUUGCGCCCGAAGCCAUCAGGUUGAGGGCACGUCUGCCUGGGCGUCACAUAUCGUUGCCCAAUGCCUAUUGCAGUGCAAUAGGAAUUUCUAGGGCGAAUGAUGGCUUCCCGUGAGCGUUGUUGCCUCGCGGUUGGUUGAAAAUCGAGUCCUAGGUAGGGUGUGCCAUGGUAGAUGGUGGUCGAGUUAGAACGAUACCGAUCAUGUGCAUGCUCCCCAAAAUAUGGCCUCUAUGACCCACACGCGUCUUUUGACGCUCAUGACGAGACCUCAGGUCAGGCGGGGCUACCCGCUGAAUUUAAGCAUAUCAAUAAGCGGAGGA
rnacentral:misc_RNA from 1 species